AGGCUGUCAUUAGGUUUGUCGGUUAUUCAGGGGAUUUGGUAAUUCUGAGAAUGUGUGACCUUAAAUUGACGUAGUUAAUUAAAAACCUAUCCAAACCUUAAUCCCAGCCCACACUAGUGGUUGAGCCAUAGGUGAGGGGGAGGAGUGAGGAGGAUUUGGUGUUAUACACCAGAUCAAACAGGAAGUACCAGUGAUGCGCUCAUUACGGACGUGGUCCGAUGAAUCAGACAUAAGGCUACAAAACUGUUUUGCUAGUACAGACUAGGAUAUGUUCCGGGAUUCAUCCAAUAGCAUUGAGGAGUUUACCACAUCAGUCGCAGGCUUCAUCAAUAAGUGCAUAGAUGAUGUCGUCCCCACAGUGACUAUACGAACGUAUCAAAACCAAAAACCAUGGAUUUACAGUCAAUAUCCUUGCUGGGCUAAAGGCUAGAGCUACCGCUUACAAGGAACGGGACAUGGAGGCAUAAAAGAAAGCCCGCUACGACCUUCGACAAGACAUCAAACAUGCAAAAGGACAAUAUAGGAGGAAGGUGGAAUCCUAAUGCACCGGCUCCGACGCUCGUCGUAUGUGGCAGGGCUUGGAGAUGAUAACGGAUUACAAAGGGAAACCCAGCUGAUCUGGCUCUCUGUGGCCGAUAAACUCUGAGGAUUACUCUACACGCAGCCAGAGACAGUUGCCGCAGCAUCGCCCUAGCAAAACAAACGUGUAACAACAGAUUGGCUGGUGAAAUGCACACUCGACCCUCUGAUUGGACCAGCAAACUGUCAAUCAACACAAGAGCUAGAAAAGAGAUUGCCGAUUUGCUGUACAGCUAUUGGAUCGGGUGCAGCGCAAAUUGUAGGGAGAUAGGAUUUCCACAAUAAUGCAAUCAAGCUCGAUAGACCACCCAAGAGGUGGGGCAAGUACUGGAUUGAGCAGAGUAGCGUGAGGCUGCCACUACCUUUGACCGGUAUGGUCCGGCGUCAGAGGAUAGGAGACACCAAACAGAUAUAUUAAACAAUGAUCUUUAUUAAAUACACAGAUUUAAGACAGCGUGUAUGAAAUGUUAGAUGACCUACUCAAUUCCUGCAGUCUCUGUAACCCAAUCACAAGUGCUGCAAUGACCUGAAGGUGUAAGGUAUAAGGUUGUGUGCCUUACACCAAUUGUUUUAACUCUGCACUGUUGGGAAGAGCUCGUAAGCAUUUCACGAUAAAGUCUACACCCGUUGUAUUCGGCACAUUUGACAAAUCCAAUUUUUUGUGAUCUGCACCUUUUCAUAGCGGCACAAUACUGAGAGAACCCCAAUAAUCCAAAUCCUAGUGAGAGAUAAAGUUGGUGAGGUUAAGUUACGUUAAAAAAAAGGAGAGAAAUAAAAAGGAGAGAAAGAAAGUAGGUGAGUGUAAAAGACAGUGAGAGUGACAGAAGGGGGACAGAGAGAGUGACAAAGGGGGGACAGAGAGAGUGGCAGAGGGGGGACAGAGAGAGGCAAACAUGCUUUGAGGGGUUAUUUUUAAGGUUCUUCACCACAGUUUCCUGGCUGCAGUACAACUAAAGCAUCUGGAUCUGUAUACGAUAGGGCAACGGCCAUGGAAAAUCCCAAUGGCUGAGAGUCUUCUCUCCCUCUUUUCCUCUCUCUCCCUCUCGCUCUUUCUCUCUGACCUCUGACCCCCACACCAUGACCCAUCCUUGUCUACAAUUUCCCCCUCUCACUUUAUUACAACCUCUUUAUUUAAAAAAAAAAAAAAAAAAACCUGACCUUCAACCUUUGAUCUAUGACCCCAGCCGACACUGUCCUGGCCUCGCCCAUCGCUCCAUUCUUCCUCACCUAACACCCCUGUCUCCUCUACACCACAGCAACGCCCAAUAGUAUAUACAAUACAAUAUUCCGUAUUUUCUACCAUUGCACCUAUCAAAAGCUGGUUCCAAUUACAAAGCUACAGUCCACUCCUCUCAUUUUUAGUUGGCUUUUCUCUGUUGCGACGGGAUUUCAUCCCCGCCUUUUAUUCUAUGCAAUCUGGUCCUCAUCUCUAAUGGGACCCCUGAGGGCCAGACCACAGGUGAGUGAGGAGAGGGGAGACUAGCCAAGGGUCUUCCAACUCCCAAAGCCUUCCCCAGGGUCCUCUCAAAGACUCCCACCGAGGCUUCUGUUAGAAAACCGAUCCUGCUUUUUCUACGGACCGGAGGUAAAAAAGUUACAGUCUGGGCAUACAGAGUGUUGACCUCAUCCUUCUCUCUUUCUCCCUCAGUUUUCCAUCCAUCCAUGGCCUGGUCCUGGACCACUAGUCCGUUCUGGUUCAGACAGUGUGUGAGAUAUUACAUGCAGAUGAAUCUGUCUCAGGGGCUCAAGGAAUUAUAGUGCAAAAAGUCCAAAUACAGUCCUGCAUGCAGAUUUUAAUAACCAAGGGCUAGGGAGGGUUGGGCAGCCCUAGAACAAUUGGAAGUACCAAUGUGCCACCCAAUCUCCUGUCCCUUCUGUGUGGACAUUAUGCAGUAGUUGGUGUCAUCAAUUGAGGGCACAAACGGGUAACACAAGUGUCACUGAUUAUGUUCCCGUAGCCUAUAUGUUAUUAUUGGCCUUUGCAGUUCUUUUGGUUUGCUGUCUCUUUUCUGACUCCUUAUUAAUUUCACUGUAGUUCCCUCCCCCUUGUUGGUCACCAUUGCAACCAGCACACCUAGGAGAGCUGCCAUACCUGAGCCUGAUGAGCUAAACGAGCCUGUGCGCCAUAUAAAAGGAGCUCCCGCCGUGACUUUUGCCACGGCUGGGUGAGAGGACGCCUCCGUGCCACGGAGCCACAACUGAGACAUGCUGCCACCUGGCAGGGGCUGGAGGAUAGAGUCGAGCGAGGAGUUAUAUGAUGCACAAUGCCUGCUAUUGAUCAGAUAAGUGGCGGUCAAUUUCCUGGAGUGUUUGACUGUUUCCGAGAGAAUGCUUCCCCUCUUGACCCCUGCUCUGUUCUUCCCCUCUUGACCUCUGCUCUGUUCUUCCCCUCUUGACCCCUGCUCUGAGAUCUUCCCACAUUUGCAAAUUCUUAUUGUGUCAGAGGAGGUGUCAGAAACAGACGUGGGCGCUCACACAGCCCACUGCUAUAGUACAUGAAGACUCUAAUGACCUUGAAUGUAAAUGUAUAGUACGCUAUAUAGCCAACCACCAGACCUUAUGGCAUGGAUGGAAGCCAGAUUUGACAGUUAUAUUUGAGUUUGCAUACCUAACACACUGGCUCUCUUUCAGAAUGACCUGCGUGCCAGUAAAUUCAACUCUUUCUUUGAUCCUUGGAGCAGGUGGUUUGAAAACUUAUGUUCCAUCCCUCUUCCCAAUCCCCUCAGUCCACAAUCAUUUGUUUUCAACCAGUUCAGUAAAACCAUAUGUUUAUUUUAUGGCUGUCAAACCGGCACCUCAGUGGACAACUAUUGGUCAGAGGAAAGGGAAAACAAUAACAUUUAUUGAUGUUCCAUGUCGUGAGAGGCAGGGAUGGUUCACUUGCAGACAGGUUUAAUUUGUUUUAUCUACAUAUGAGAAGAAAUUACUUGACUAGCUCUGAAUAAAAUCCUGCUUUUGGGAGUGUAUCGUCAACAGUCAUACUAUCAUGCCCAGACUAUAGGUGCUGCAUGAAUGGAUCAUCCUGCCACAUAGAAAUGCUCAUACUCAGACAGGAAAUACAGUCUUCUCCACAUGCCAGUAUAAUAUGGCAUCUUGGGAACAUUUAUAAUAUCCUGUCUCCAGGCGUCUUCCAAUUUCUCCCCGUGUUUUCCUCUCCAAACUGUUUUCUUCCCCUACAUCCUGAGGUCCAUGCCAGGGAGGAUCUGCUGACUCUUACCAAAGGACCUGAGAAGGCAGCCAAAUCCUGCCUGAAAAACUUCUUUCAUCCUCUUGAUUAAAUCCAAGGGAAUUAUUUCUUAAAAUCCAACAGGCUUGAUUGCCAAAAUGAAUAAUACAGAGAGAGCGAGGGGGAGGGAGGGAUGCCCCAGAGAGGAAGGACAGGAAAGAGAGGAGAGCGGGAGAGAACUAUUUUUCUCUCUCUCCUUCCUUGCAACAGAUUUCUUCUCCACCUUGAGUGUUUAGGGCAACUAGCUCUCACAGUCUGAUGUCAGAAUCAAACGUUCAUCCAUGUUACUCAAAGUCAAAUUUCGAAGUUGUUGCAAACAUCAAAUUUCAAAGUGUUUAAGGUUCAAUUCAGUCAUUGACUCAGAAUUGUUAGGGUUAAGUUUAGGCAUUAACUCUGAAUGGUUAAGGUAAGGGUUAAGGGUUGGGAUAGUUAAAGAAAAAAAAUCUCCAACAACUUUCUAUCGGUGGAUUUGAACUUGGAAUCAGAGGCAGAUGCUUGUGGGGGAGGCAGAUGCUUACGGCUAUCAGCCACGAUUUGUAUUUUAUAUUUCUUCCUUUCUUUUUUAGGGCUGACAAGGGAGAGAGGAGCCAUUUGGACACAUCCUUCAGAAUAUUUCAAUGGAGUCAUUGAUUUCAGUGUGGAUUUGUCAAGCUUGGACAGAACCCAUGUAAACCCAAACAACCUCUGGGCUGCAGCAAUUCAUCAUAUUCACAGCUGAAAUGAUGUCCACCAUCGCACCCAUUUUAUUUCAAUGGAGUAUUUGUAACUGCCUGUUACAUAACUGAGAAUAAAUGGUUUACAGGCUCUCUCUCUCCCUCUCUCUCUAUCGCACAUGCUAACUGAAGCUAGUUUUCCAGGUAUGAAUAUUCUCCAUGGGGAAUCCAACCAAUAACAGACAACUAAAGUUGAUGAAGUCCACCCAUCCCUCCAUGGUUCUUCUCCUGUGCUUAGAGUUCUUGAAGGCCAUGAUAAAUAAAGCAACCCUCUUGGGCUAAGCAGCAAGAAAAGGCAGGUAGCCAGUCACCUAAGCCCAGCAGCAAUCAAGCAAGAGCCCAACACCCUCCUCCAUACAAUAACCUCCGUUCUCCCAGGUCCUUGGCUCCUCAUACACAGACGGGGAGCUCCAUCUCUGGGCACUCAGAACCAGGCGUGAGGCCCAAACGGGUGCCCUGUCUUCAGCUCCAAAUGACCACCGCCCCUCUUUCAUGCCAGGAACAGUGGAGCAACGGAGCUGGAAAGUCUUACCCUCCUCUUGUUGACGCUCCAGUUUAAACAGUUUUCCACUCAAACAGAGCUGAUGGCAGCUUGUCGAGGACAUAGUGAAUGGUACUCCAUCUUUGGGACAAGUAAGGGCAGCUUUGUGUCCCUUUAGCUUUGCUCAGCUCAGUAAUGUGCUGAGAAAGACACAAGGCAAUGGAAAUUAUUGAGGAGUUUCUGUAAUUCCCUGGUAAACUACACUGAAUAAAAAUAUAAAUGCAUCACGUAAA